rnacentral:rRNA from 1 species
AUAUCAAUAAGCGGAGGAAAAGAAACCAACAGGGAUUGCCUCAGUAACGGCGAGUGAAGCGGCAAAAGCUCAAAUUUGAAAUCUAGUACCUUCGGUGCUCGAGUUGUAAUUUGAAGAUAGUUUUCUGGUGCUGGCCCUUGUCUAUGUUCCUUGGAACAGGACGUCAUAGAGGGUGAGAAUCCCGUCUGAUGGGGUGUCCAGUGCUUUGUAGAUUUCUAUCGAAGAGUCGAGUUGUUUGGGAAUGCAGCUCUAAGUGGGUGGUAAAUUCCAUCUAAAGCUAAAUACUGGCGAGAGACCGAUAGCGAACAAGUACAGUGAUGGAAAGAUGAAAAGAACUUUGAAAAGAGAGUGAAAAAGUACGUGAAAUUGUUGAAAGGGAAGGAUAUUGGAUCAGACUUGGUGUUUUGUGAUUAUCUUCCCUUCCUGGGUUGUGCACUCGCAUUUCACUGGGCCAGCAUCGGUUCGGAUGGCAAGAUAAUGGCUUGGGAACGUGGCACCCCUCGGGGUGUGUUAUAGCCCUUGUUGAUGUUGCCUGUCUGGACCGAGGACUGCGGCUUCUGCCUAGGAUGCUGGCGUAAUGAUUCAAUAUCGC